rnacentral:lncRNA from 1 species
AGUGGGGGGAGCCCCCGGGUGGACAUCGGCCCCUUGCCUACGCAGGGCCGCCGCGAGGAUUUUCGGAGGGUCCGCCGCCGGGUCUGGGGAACCCAGCCUUCCAUGCCAAUCUACCGCUAGCUGGAGCUGCCCCAGCCCCGCUGGUCAGGGACCCUGGGUGAGGGCCAGCUUUCCGUUUUCUUUAGAAGAUGCUGUUCAAAAAUCUGCUCAGGUGAAUCUCGACGCCAAAGUGGCACCUUCACUACUGACUUCUCUCCCAGUGACUCUUUUGUCAGCUGUCGUGUCGCUGGAUUUUCACUUUAGGACCUGAACGCAGAACUUACUUACUUCCUACUGUAGAUGGCACUUUUCUCUGAGGACUCAUGCCUCACUCAUUUCUGGAACAAUUUAUGCCGAGGAUCAAGACCAUCUCUCCAGGGCUGUUUCUUUGCCUGAAGAUAAGAGGACACAAGUGGGUGACCUUCACAUUUUUUUCUCUAUGGAAUUGCCUGGUGUAGACAGAAAAACCCAACUGCAAAAACCUAACAAAGCACACCCUGAUGCCAUUCAUUUUAAUCCAGUGUGAAUACAUUCCCAGCUCUUAGCUAGAGGUGCAGAGCCCUAUUUGAAGAACCCACACGGUCUUCCCAAAGGUCAUCCUUUCCUCCGGGUCCCAGCUGUACUGGAGGAAAAUGGGAAUUCCAGCACACCCCAAGAAGGUUCAGCUGUCCCACCUCAGUCUAAACCAGCCUUUCUCAUACCUCCUCCGGGGAUUUACUUUGAGUCAUAUCUGAGAUCUAUAUGAGCAUCCAGACUAUCUGAGAUGGAACUGUCUAAGGAGAGUACACCUGCACCACAAACCCAGGAAUCUGCAUUUCUCAGAAGCCUCUCAGAGAAGACAGGCAAUGGGACGUGCUCUAAUCUCAUUGCGUUGCUGUGAGAAGAGACUCUGAGCAAAGAGUUUCUUUCAGCUCUCACCUCCAGGUGAGAAAAGCCAGGGUGUGAUCUCAAGCAGGAACUCGACGGAGAAACAGACGUUCUGCCACUUGCUGACUCAGACUGGCCUGGACUUAGUUUUCUCAUACAGUUCACAAUUCCCUGCUUUGGGAUGGUGCUGCCCUCAGUGGGCUGAACCCUCCUGUAUCAAUUAGCAAUAGAGAUAGUUCUCCACAGACAUGCGUACAACCCUCUCUGACCCACAUAGCUCUGAACUGAGUCUCUUCUUAAUGAGUCUGUUGUGUCAAGUUGACAGUUAACCAACGUGGAAAACAAAGAUCCGCUGAUAGAGCUGGACAGGAUGAAGUUAAAAAAGGAGAGGGGUUCAGUGGUCCAUUAACACUGACCAGAGAAUAAAUGUCCUGAAAAUUGGCCAGAAAGUCUGGGGAUUGGGGAUUUAAGCAUUUUAGUGUAUUUCAUGAACAUGUUAACAUAUAUGAUAGUAGUGAGGAUAAAAAUGCCAAUGUUGUCACUUGAUGGGGACUUAGAAAUCCAGUUGUAAAAAUAAAAACUAAAGCAAUUGUAUACAUUUAGAUGAACCUCUUACAGGUUCAAAACUCACAGUAAUGCACCACACUAUUACAUUUAAUAAAACAAUCCUAAUUAAACA